GACGAACGCUGGCGGCGUGCUUAACACAUGCAAGUCGAACGGAAAGGCCCUGCUUUUGUGGGGUGCUCGAGUGGCGAACGGGUGAGUAACACGUGAGUAACCUGCCCUUGACUUUGGGAUAACUUCAGGAAACUGGGGCUAAUACCGGAUAGGAGCUCCUGCUGCAUGGUGGGGGUUGGAAAGUUUCGGCGGUUGGGGAUGGACUCGCGGCUUAUCAGCUUGUUGGUGGGGUAGUGGCUUACCAAGGCUUUGACGGGUAGCCGGCCUGAGAGGGUGACCGGCCACAUUGGGACUGAGAUACGGCCCAGACGCCUACGGGCGGCAGCAGUGGGGAAUAUUGCACAAUGGGCGGAAGCCUGAUGCAGCAACGCCGCGUGCGGGAUGACGGCCUUCGGGUUGGAAACCGCUUUCGCCUGUGACGAAGCGUGAGUGACGGUAAUGGGUAAAGAAGCACCGGCUAACUACGU
rnacentral:rRNA from 1 species